rnacentral:lncRNA from 1 species
AUAGCCGUUACGAAAGCUCCCGAAGAGAAAGAGGUCUUUGCUGCUUGACUGUGUGAACCAGGUCCAGGUCUUGCAUUUGGCAUUCCCGCUGUUGACGUCCCAUCGAGUUAGCUAGUUAAGGGUGAAAGGGAUUUAGGAAUGAAUAGCAGGCAAAGUCCUUGCUAGGAAUUCCGGGUAACUUUCUGUAUUCCUUAAGGUUACAGGUGAAGCUGACUUCCUGCGGUAGCCCCUUGGACCUUAGCCUCUUAAGGGUUGGGUUCUAGUGGCGGGCUCUUGGGUCGUCCGGACCCAUAUCUGG